GUGCCAGCAGCCGCGGUAAUACGUAGGGGGCUAGCGUUGUCCGGAAUCAUUGGGCGUAAAGCGCGCGUAGGCGGCCCUGUUAGUCCGCUGUAAAAGUCAAAGGCUCAACCUUUGAAUGCCGGUGGAUACUGCAGGGCUAGAGUCCGGAAGAGGCGAGUGGAACUCCUGGUGUAGCGGUGGAAUGCGCAGAUAUCAGGAAGAACACCAACGGCGAAGGCAGCUCGCUGGGACGGAACUGACGCUAAGGCGCGAAAGCGUGGGGAGCGAACAGGAUUAGAUACCCUGGUAGUCC
rnacentral:rRNA from 1 species